ACGCAGAGUGUUCCUGCGAGUCCCGGUUCCCUGCGGCCUAUCCUGCCAGGUGCCGGUGCCCGAGCCCGGGGAAAAGGUGAAAAAGGUCUUAAGUUACAGAUUGCGCUUUAACGCCUCCGGGGAAGGCCGGAGCUCCAUCACGAGGAUCCUUGGUCAUUAAUGAAUGGCAUCUAGCCCAAGUUUUGUUUAUUUUUGGCCGCCUACUGGAAAUAAUACCUCACGGGGAAAAAUGCGGAGUGUGUGGCUAUUAAAAGCUAAUAAAGAGAAAGGAAAUCACUGCUGUUGAGAGUGAAAAAUGAGGAGGAAUUUGUUUCGCCUGAAUUAUUCUAUUGCUCUUACAAGGUGAUUGCUCAACCUUACAUCUGUCACAGAAGCGGUCCGAACCACCACCUCUUCCUGAAGGAGGGGACGUUUUGUUUCAAAAUAAGUUACCACUUCUCCAUUAAAAAAGAAACUUUGACUAAGAUGACAAAAAGGACGAUAACCAACAGAGUGUGCCGCAGAGUAAGCGAACGGCACGAACCCGCAAGCCCCGAGAUACAACUGUAAUGAGUAGAAAAUGGAACAGAGGAGAAUGUUAUGCUACACCACAGCUAUGGAAUCGCAAGACCUUAAAUAUGGGACAACGUACUGGGGGAAAUACCUAAAAGAAGGCCGGUAGAAUGAUAUACAGAAAGCUCUCACGGAGAUGCCUCCUGGCUCCCUGGGGAAAAGAUGUCUGUGUGUUGAUGAGGUGGGUGUGAUCACCUCCGUGGCUGGAAGACCACCGAUGGGUGGACAACACAGUCACGCUUCAGGUGGGUUCAAAAAAAUAAGAAAGAUAGAGUGAAAGAGAGAGAGAAAAACAGAAAGACUCAAGACCAUUGUAUAAAUGAAGGAAUAACUGUUGGAAAAUUAAGAAAAAAUCCAUAGUUGCGUAUAUACACACCUGUCUUCAUAAUUACAAAAGUGCAGGCAUAUAUAAAAAGGGACAAAUGAUGGCCUGACAUGACGGCUGGGGAGCUGAGUGAAUGGAGUGCAUUGGAGUAGACUGGCCUCAGGGCUCUGAAACUCUUUGAAAGAUAGCCCACUUGGGAGGGAAGUUCUUGGUAUUGCAAGAAAGUGGAGGAAGAGAAUCCACCCAGCAUGCUGCCCAGGGCCAUUGCAGGCCCCCACCCUCAACCCCUGCUCCCGGGACGGGGCGGGGGGGCUGCUGAGCCCGAGAGAGGAGGCCGUCCUGAGGGGUGCUGUUAGAGACGAUGGCCACAAGGCGGCGCCAGAGGACCUCCUGGGCCCAGCUGCCUUUGAGGGCAGCAGAGGCGGGCCGAGAAGUUGGGAGGAUUGGGUGUUGGGCAGAACCGACAGCGAGCCCCCAGAGGUUUGGGGUCGCUUCCUGGGCACCUGGGAGACUCGGCUCCAGGAUGCCUCACGUCCGGCUGUCCCUUCAGCACUGGAUGUGGCUUUUGGCAGCCUGCUCGGGUGGCCGUGGGGUUCGAAUGCUUUAGGGGUUCCCCGUGGUCCCGAAUGCCUUGGGUUCCUGCAGAGGCAGGAGCCUAGACCCACAGAGCAUCUGUGCGGAAGCGUGAGCUGGCCAUUUUCCAGCGCCUGCCUGUCGGGGUUUCAGGGAUGUGGAGAGGGAGGUUGGUGCUCCCGGAUGAAUGGGGAGCUUGGGGGGCAGGAUGCUGGGCAGCUGUGCUAAUCCCCGUGCUUGUCUCGCUCAAGAGGCCUGGGGACAUUUCCUUCCUGCCUUUGGAGAGGGUCCUCUCUUUUCAGUGCGGCACCAGGGCCUGGAGGCCUGCCUGGACCCAGGUCUGCUGAACGAAGCAGGGUGGGUGGGCAGCCUGAACUUCCAGCUCUCAGGGAGUUCCCUCGCGGUGGUCGGGCUUCAGAGUCUCUCUGUGUCACGGCUGUGGCUGUGGUAAGAGCUGCACUCUGAGAUUAAACCCUGGCCAGACAACAUCCCAUGUGGCAAGUGGCACCCAAAUAAAUUUACAAAUAAAAGUGAUAUUGAACGAAUGAGCUCAAUUGAUAAAGAAGUCAAUACAGACAUAUAUUCCUCCAGAGUAGCUAAGGGAAUUGAUAGUUAAGGCAGUAAUAAAGGAUCUCCUGACACACUACCUCUGGUGACAGAGGGUUUCAGUACAGGCCUGGGCUAAUAAAAGAAGUGGCAUGGAUUCAUUUCCUGGCCAGAUGGUAUCUGCGUGCCACAACUCUGUGCAGAAAAAUAAACAGGUGUGUCAAAAUAAAUCAAUAAAUGAAGAUGUUGAUAGAGCACUCAAUUCAUAUAGUGUAGGGAAUUUCUUCCAGUUGGAUUUCCGAUUGCUAAGAAAUCUUGACGGGUUCAACGGAGUCAUUGCCAGCUUUUUUUCUCCAGAGGGAGGAGUCUGGAUCCAGACAACUUCUCUGGUGAACACUGAGCUGGUAAUAUCUUCUUUUAUCAUUUUUUAGUUGCAUUAUAGCUGAUUGAUUGUGCUCUGUCUAUAUCCACUUAACAGCAAUGUGAUCCAGUCGUACAAGUAUAUGCAUGUAAUUUUUCUCAUAUUAUCCUCCAUCUAGUUCCAAACAACUGUCUAGAUAGAGUUUCCUGUGCUGUAGAGCAGGAUCCCAUUGCUUACCCACUCCAAGCAGUAGAGUUUGCAUCCAUUAACCCCAGAACCCAGGCCUUCCCUCACCGUCCCCCUCCAAUCUGGCGACCACAAGUCCGUUGACCAGUCCAAAAUUUUCUUUUUUGGAGAAAGGUUCAUUUGUGCCAUUUGUUAGAUUCCAGAACCAAGGGUUGUCCUCUAGCACCGUCUUUUAUUUUCAGACUUAUUUCACCUUGUAUGAGAGCUUCUAGUUCCAUGUAUGUGGCUGUGAAUGUCACUUUUUUUUAAUGGCUGCAUCGUCGUAUUCGCUGGUGUCUAUGUACAGCCUCUUCUUAAUCCGUUCAUCGGUCGAUGGACAUCGUGUUUGUUUCUGUAUCUUGGCUAUUGUAAAUAUUGUUGCAAGGAACAGUGCUGGUCAAGUGUCUUUUUAAAAGAAUAUGCAUCCAGACAUAUGCCCAAGAGUGGGGUUGCUGGGGCAUGCUUUCUUUCUGUAUGUAUUUUCAGGAUUUACCUCGAUCCUUUUGCCCAUAGUGUCUGUACCAAUUUCCACAGCCACUCUCCCUGUAGGAAGGCAUCCUCUUCUCCACACAAUCUCCAGGUUUUGUUAUUUGUAGACUUACUACUGAUGGCCAUUCAGACAGGUGUGAGGUGGAAACUCAUAGUCGUUGUGAUUUGCAUUUCUCUCCUAAUGAGUGAUGGUGAUAAUUUUGUUCCAGCACUUGUUGCCCCUGUAUAUCUGGUUUAGGGAAAUGUUUAUUCAGGUCUUUGGCCAAUUUGUCAAUUGGGUGGUUGGGUUUAUAUAUUUAUGCUUUUUUUCUUUCUUUCUUUUUUUUUUUUUUUUUUGCUGCUUACGUGUAUCAGAUGUUGAGCUGGUAAAUUUGAAACCCCAUCCCGACCUGGGCUUUGGGAACUGGAUAUAGUGCCUGUGUGUUGUGCCUGGAAGGUGGUACAGAGGUGACAUUUUGGUGAGCAGCUGUGCUAAUCCCUGUGCUUCUUCUCUCAUGAGGUCUCCUGAAACUUUGUCUUUUUCCUUCCCUGUGAGCCACUUUUGUUCUAUCUAUACACCUGGAAUGAAGACCUGAUUGAAAGCCAGGUUGGGUGAAUUAAGGCUGGUAGAAAGAUAUAAAGAAAGCUCUUACGGAGAUCCCUCCUGGCUCCCUGGAUAAAAGAUCCAUCUGUUCUGCUGUGGUGUGUUUGGUAUCCUCUGUGGCUUGCAAACCAUUGAUGGGCCGACAACCCCUGCACGCUUCAGGUGCAGUCAAUAAAGUAAGAAACAAAAAGGAAGAGCAAGCAAGAGAGACAGAAAGACAGUAAGAAAGAAAGAAAAGAAUCAAGGCUUUAUUGUAUGAGUGAAGGAACAACAGUUGGAAAAUUAAGAAAAAAAUCCAUGGUUCCAUAUAUACACACCUAUCUUCAUAAGUACAUAAGUGCUGGCAUAUCUCAAAAAGAAGAAUGCUGUCAUGACACAAUGGUUCGGAGAUGAGUGAUGGGAGUGGUUUGGGCGUAGGUUGAUCUCAGGGCUCUGAAAGCCUUCGAGAGAGAAAUAGCCCACUUGGAAGGGAAGUUCUUGGUAUUUCAAGAAAAUGGAGGAAGAGAAUCCACCCAGCAUAUUGCCCAGAGCCAAUGCAGCCCCCAGGGGGCUGCUGAGCUAGAGAGAGGAGGCCACCCUGAGGGUUGCUGUUAGAGCAGAUGGCCACAAGACGGCGCCAGAGGACCUUCUGGACCCAGGUGCCGCUCUGGGCAGCAGAGGCAGGCUCUCAGGUGGGGUGGAUGUUGUGUUGGGCAGAACUCACAGGAAGCACCAGGAGGUUUGGGUUUUUUCUUUUUCUGGGCACCUGGGAAUCUCUACUCUAAGAUGCCUCAUGUCAGGCAGAGGACACAGGUGUCCCUUCAGCAUUGGAUGUGGCUGGGCAGCCUGGUUGGGUGGCAGUGUGUUUGGAAUGCUGAAGGGAUUCACUGGGUUUCCAAAUGCCUUGUGUUCCUCCAGAGGCAGGAGCCGAGACCCACACAGCAUCUGUGUUGAAAGGUGAGAUGGCCAUGUUGAAGCCCCUGGUUGUCAGGGCUGUAGGGAUGUGGAGAGAGAGGCUGGUGCUGACAAAAGAAUGGGGAGACUUGGGCAGCAUGAUGGUGGGCAGCUGUGCUAAUCCCUGUGCUUUUCUUGCUCAAGAGACCUAGGGAAAUUUCCUUCUUGCCUUUUGCGAUGAUCCUCUGUUUUCACUACCGCGCCACGGCAUUGGAGGCCCGACCAAAGCCAGGUGUGAUGAAUUAAGCAGGGUGGAUUGGUAUCACCAAGCACGCUCUCAGGGAGUUCCCUCGUGGUUGCUGGGCUUAAGAGUCUCUCUCUGUCACUGCUGUGGCUGUGGUAAGAGCUGUGUUGGGAGAUUAAACCCUGGCCAGACAACAUCCCAAGUCGCAGUGGCACCCAAAUAAAUUUAUACAUAAAGAGAGAUAUUGAACAAAUGAGCUUCAUUGAUAAUGAGGUCAAUACAUACAUCCAUAUAUUCCUCCAGAGUGGCUAAGGGAAUCGAUAGCAGAAAUAAAGGACCUCCUGACCCUCUACCUCUGGUGACAGAGGGUUUCAGUAGGGGCCUGGGCUAAAAGAAGCAGUGAGGUGGAUUCAGUACCUGGCCAGAUGGUAUCUGCCUGCCACACCUGUGUGCAGAAAAAUAAACAGGUGAAUCGAAAUAAAUAAAGAUGUUACAGUAUAACUCAAUUCAUACACCCUAGGUCAUUACGUCUGGUCGGGUGCCCCAUUGCUAAGAAAUAUUGACAAGUUCGACAGAGUCAGGUUGCCUGCUUUUUUUCUCGAGGUGCAGGAGGCUAGACCCUACAUCUUCUCUGGUGAACAUUGAGCCUGUAAUGUCUUCUUUUAUCCUUUUUUAUUUCCACUCUACCUGAUUGAUAGUACUCUCUCAAUUUCUCUUUAACAGCAAUGUGAUCCAUUUGUACUUGUAUAUAGAUAUCAUUUUUUUCACAUUAUCUUUCAUCUAGUUCCAAAAAAAGAAGUCCAGAUAGUUUCCUGUGUUGUAGAGCAGGAUCCCAUUGCUAACCCUCUCCAAGUAUUAGAGUUUGCAUCCAUUAACCCCCUAAAUCCAUGCCAACAUACAUCCACCACCACCCCCAAUCUGGCAACCACAAUCUCUUUACCAGUCCAAGAUUUUCUUUUUGGGAGACAGGUUCAUUCGUGCCUUUUGAUAGAUUCCAGAACCAAGGGAAUGCUAUGGUAUUGUCUUUCAUUUUCUGACUUACUUCACACAGGAUGUUUCUGGAGACAUCUAUGUUGCUGAGAUUGUCAUUUUUUGGGCUUUUUGUAUGGAUGCAUCGUAGUAUUCCACUGAAUCUUUGAACAACAUCUUCUUAAUCCGUUCAUCUGUCGAUGGACAUUGAGUUUGUUUCCUUGUCUUGGCUAUUGUGAAUAUUGCUGCAAGGGACAGAGCAGGGCAAGUAUCUUUUGAAAAGAAUAUGUGUCCAGAUAUAGUCACAAGGGUGGGGUUGCUGGGGCAUGCAUCCUUUCUAGUGGAUUUUUAGGAUUUGCAUGGAUCCUGUUGUCCAUUGUUUUGGUACCAAUUUGCAUAGCCACUCCCACUGUAGGCGGGCACCCUCUUCUCCACACCCUCUCCAGGAUUUGCUAUUUCCUGACUUAUUAAUCAUGACCAUUCGGACAGGUGUGAGGUGGUACCUCAGGGUCGUUGUGAUUUGCAUUCCUCUCAGAUUGAGAGAUGGAGAUCAUUUUUUUCCAGUGCUUGUUACCCCUGUGUAUCUGGUUUAGGAAAAUGUCUAGUCAGGUCUGUUGCCCUUUUCUCAAUCAAGUGCUUGGGUUUAUUUAUUGAUGCAUUGAUUUUUUUUUUUUCGGUGUUCGUUUGUGUCUGUUGUUGAGCUGGUAAUUAUGAAACCCCAUCCUUACCUGGGCUUUGGGAACCGGAUAAAGUGCCUGCAUGUUGUCCCUGGAAGGUGGUACAGAGGUGACAUUUUGUUAUUGUCCUGCACCCAUGAGUCGCAUGCAGAUACACUCUGCCCUGGAAGUGAAUCCACUCCUAUGCUGGACAUCCCCAGGCUCAUUCUUCUAAUCAUCAGCCACGAGAGACACUGUGUCAAGAGAGACUUUAGGAUUUGCUUUAUCUAUCCAUUCCCUUAGCUCUUCUGUAGGAAUAUAUAUAUAUAUAUAU